rnacentral:rRNA from 1 species
CGCUGGCGGCGUGCCUAAUACAUGCAAGUCGAACGCACUCUCGUUUAGAUUGAAGGAGCUUGCUCCUGAUUGAUAACAUUUGAGUGAGUGGCGGACGGGUGAGUAACACGUGGGUAACCUGCCCUAAAGUGGGGAUAACAUUUGGAAACAGAUGCUAAUACCGCAUAAAACCUAACACCGCAUGGUGUAGGGUUGAAAGAUGGUUUCGGCUAUCCCUUUAGGAUGGACCCGCGGUGCAUUAGUUAGUUGGUGAGGUAAAGGCUCACCAAGACCGUGAUGCAUAGCCGACCUGAGAGGGUAAUCGGCCACACUGGGACUGAGACACGGCCCAGACUCCUACGGGAGGCAGCAGUAGGGAAUCUUCCACAAUGGACGAAAGUCUGAUGGAGCAACGCCGCGUGAGUGAAGAAGGUUUUCGGAUCGUAAAACUCUGUUGUUGGAGAAGAAUGUAUCUGAUAGUAACUGAUCAGGUAGUGACGGUAUCCAACCAGAAAGCCACGGCUAACUACGUG